AACUUGCAAUUGUGAUGUCUUUCAUGUCGUGCCAUACAUUUAUAAGCGUAUUCGCUUCUGGUGAUCAUAGUCAGUCAAAUCACUUUCAUUUAAAUCAGUUCAGUCUGGUCAGUUGAAUGGAUAGAAAAAAAAACUGAACCGAAUGCUUAUCUACAUAAUAUAACCUCUCUGACUCCGUAAUAAAUCUGUCAUUUCAUCCAUGGCAAGUGUAUAAAAAUCGAAAGAUUUUACAGUUAUUCACUUUGUGAUUUUAUGAUCAGUUUCAUGUGGUGGGAAAUAAUUGAUUGCACCGAAAAAAACUUCUGUCAAUCACUCAAGUCGAUUUAACUGAAUAUAAUGAGUGAGUGCUCAAUAGGGGCAUAAUUAUAAAUAAUUACAACAAUUGGCGACCGUGACAGGACCUUUGUUUGUGAAUUUUGUUGUGGGAAAACUUUUGUGGAAAAAUGGAGAUACUGGAUGUGAAACAGCUUAAAAAACUUCGUACAUCUUCCCGGCAGGCGUUUACAAAAGCGUAUAACGCGUUGAAGGUUCUUUUGGAGGGAUAUGAGACGUUAUUGAGGACAACGGAGGGAUUACACUGCCUAACAUCAGCAGCACUUAUUGGUGAUAAUUACGCAUAGGCUGUAGACAGGUUAUGAUAAUGAUAGAUUUGUAUUUCGUGCAAAUGUUUUUAUUCGUUCAAUAAAAACAUUUGCACGAAAUAAAAACCUUUCAUCGUCGAAUAUACAG